rnacentral:rRNA from 1 species
GUAGGUGGCAAGCGUUGUCCGGAAUUAUUGGGCGUAAAGCGCGCGCAGGCGGGUCCUUUAAGUCUGAUGUGAAAGCCCACGGGCUCAACCGUGGAGGGUCAUUGGAAACUGGGGGACUUGAGUACAGAAGAGGAAAGCGGAAUUCCAAGUGUAGCGGUGAAAUGCGUAGAGAUUUGGAGGAACACCAGUGGCGAAGGCGGCUUCCUGGUCUGUAACUGACGCUGAGGCGCGAAAGCGUGGGGAGCAAACAGGAUUAGAUACCCUGGUAGUCCACGCCGUAAACGAUGAGUGCUAAGUGUUAGGGGGUUUCCGCCCCUUAGUGCUGCAGCUAACGCAUUAAGCACUCCGCCUGGGGAGUACGGCCGCAAAGGCUG